rnacentral:rRNA from 1 species
CAAAAACGACUCUCGGCAACGGAUAUCUAGGCUCUUGCAUCGAUGAAGAACGUAGCGAAAUGCGAUACUUGGUGUGAAUUGCAGAAUCCCGUGAACCAUCGAGUCUUUGAACGCAAGUUGCGCCCGAAGCCUUCUGGCCAAGGGCACGUCUUGCCUGGG